AUUGAACGCUGGCGGCAGGCCUAACACAUGCAAGUCGAGCGAGCGGCGGACGGGUGAGUAAUGUAUGGGGACUGCCCGAUAGAGGGGGAUAACUACUGGAAACGGUAGCUAAUACCGCAUACUAUCGGAUAACCCAUAUGGGAUUAGCUAGUAGGUGAGGUAAUGGCUCACCUAGGCGACGAUCCCUAGCUGGUCUGAGAGGAUGAUCAGCCACACGGGGACUGGGAAAAGGCCCGGACUCCUACGGAGGCAGCAGUAGGGAAUAUUGCACAAUGGGCGCAAGCCUGAUACAGCCAUGCCGCGUGUAUGAAGAAAGCCCUAGGGUUGUAAAUUACUUUCAGUCGAGAGGCGGUACCGACAGAAGAAGCACCGGCUAACUCCGUGCCAGCAGCCGAGGUAAUUC
rnacentral:rRNA from 1 species